GGAAUCCUACACCCUCUUCUGACCUCCAAGGGCACUGAAUGAUUUGUCCCUUGUCAGAGGAAAUCAUCCAAGAGGCUAAAAUUGUCAACUCAAGAAAGAAGCGCUUUAACUCAUCUUCCUGAUGCCUUCCCACAGUGCACUGUCUACAAAGCAUCCAAAAUGACCCAUUUAAAAGUUUGUCAGGUGGUGUCUUUAAUCUGCUCCAACCACUUCUCUCAUAAACUUUAAAAAUAAAAGCAAAGCUUUCAAGUC